UACGGGGGGGGCAAGCGUUGUUCGGAAUUACUGGGCGUAAAGGGCUCGUAGGCGGCCAACUAAGUCAGACGUGAAAUCCCCAGGCUCAACCUGGGAACUGCGUCUGAUACUGGGUGGCUUGAAUCCGGGAGAGGGAUGCAGAAUUCCAGGUGUAGCGGUGAAAUGCGUAGAUAUCUGGAGGAACACCGGUGGCGAAGGCGGCAUUCUGGACCGAAACUGACGCUGAGGCGCGAAAGCCAGGGGAGCAAACGGG
rnacentral:rRNA from 1 species